ensembl:lncRNA
UCGGCCACCAUGUCGUGACCAAGCGCACAUCCCAUGGGCUGGCCAUGUGAGGAUCUUCCAGCUGACUGCACCAGCUAGCCCCCCAGCCAGUAGCAGCCUCCAGACACUGCAUGGACAUCCUUUACCAUGAUCCCAGCCCCCAGAGCUGAUGACUUCCAGCUGAGGCCCCUGACACAGUGGAAUGGAAGGUCAACCCCCCAUCCACUUCUGAGUUAUGAUGUCCCAUCCCUUGGGAAGCUGCUGGAGAAGCCAUUUCAUAGCCGAUGAUGCCACGCUUCCUCUGAGCCCAAAAGCGCUGGAGAAGUCAGCACCUCUAUGAGUUUGGUCAAGUCAGAUCUGAGCCUCAAGGAGCCCCAGAGCCCCUGCUUCAGUGGACAAAGUGGCACCCACGCUGGAGCUCAGACAGUGGUAGAAGCGCAGUCGGUGGUGGGAGCGAUCAGACUAUGGCGUCGUCUGCCAGGCUGUCCGUCACGUAGCCAUGAAAGCCUGGAGGCAGG